CUGUUGCUAAUGGGAACAAAUGUCGUUUAUGACUAUAAAAGCCAAGUCACAGAAGAAACAAAAAUUCCUAGCAAAGAAUGACCCGAGCGACUCAGACAGGAGGUAAACAUCUCCCUGUAGGGCACUUCAAGGGCAGACUUGGGGACUCUCCAGACAGAGCCAGUGCGUAUAACCCUGAAGCCAGGCAUUGAAAUUCCUCGGAUUCGUCAGUAUCCCAUCCCGCAAGAAGCUCUGCUUGGCCUCUGGAGUCUUAUCACCACAUUCCUGCGGUUGGGAGUGCUGGUUCACACCAAGUCUCUUUUCAAUACUCCCAUUCUGCCAGUCAAAAAAACCUGACAUGGACUCAGAGGGAAAACCGGUAUACCGAUUUGUCCAGGACUUACGUGCAGUAAAUAAGUAUUCCUCUAGAUAAGGACAGCUGGGACUCAAUUUCAGUCCCUACCCGCUGAUGUUCCUGCCCACCGGAUCGCUUCAGGAGACUGGGUCUAUGUGAAAGAGUGGAAACACGAGCCUCUCCAACCCCGGUGGGCGGGCCCUUUCCAAGUCCUUCUUACCUCUCACACUGCUAUUCGAGUGAAAGAGCAAGACACUUGGAUACACCAUACCCGAGUCAAGCUACCCCCUAGGACGGGGCCAGAAGCAGAUGACUUCGGACCUCGAGGGAGCACCGCCAGCUCUUCCCACCGCGACCUGGAAGAGCCAGAAGCAGACGAUACCUGGAAAGCUGAACCUCUUGAGGGACUAAAGCUUCUGUUCCUGCGAACAAAAUCCUAAGACUUUAUAAGUAUGGGUUCUUAGACGGUUUUGCAGUGGCUAUUGCUUUUGGGUUUGCCCCUUCCAGCCAGAUCCUAACCCACACCCAGCCACUAAAUCUCUUCAGCAAAUAGCCACGUUGGGACACUUAUCUGAUUGUUGGCUGUGUCACAAAACCCGCUCUGAGGAAGGAAUAGGAUUGUGGGCUGUACCUGCAAAUCUUUCUGAAGUACUCUCCUUACAGGUAGAACGGAAAAUUGAAUGGGCAUGGAUUGGGGAAUAUCAAUAUGACAAAUAUGGGAGAAGGUCUGAAGUUUGGCAUUAUUACUGGGCAGUUAAGGGGGUCCCUCUUUUUGAAUUUCUUGGGAUCGGGUAUAACAUGCCCCUUUGUUUGGAAAAUGCUGAAGGAAGUGGGCUACCUUCCCCUGGAGGCCUGUGAUCAAACCCUUCAGUUUGAAGUCAGAAAUGGAACCUUUUAUCCUUUAAAUACCCCUGAGAAUGCCCAAAAACCCCAUUGUCUCCUGCACAUGGCCAUUACUGUGAGACCAACAGGCAUUUGUUAUCAAGGGCAGUGGUUUCCCUUAUUCCUCCCGUUAGGCCCCAUAAAUAAGACACAUAUGUAUUAUAUGGAUAUUUACUCUGGCAUUCUGUUGCCCCAAACAUCCCUUGAAAGGAUGUCUGGAUGUCCAUGGGAUCACCUGCAAGUUUUACAGCUAACAUAUUUGGGGUUACGUAUUGUGGGGCCAUUUUAAACAAUACCCAUGCCCUAGGAGACUUAAAUGUUUCCCAUUGGAGGUGCCAGGACCGGCUAGCGAGUAACUCCGGGCGCUGGGAUAGAUGGGUGACCUGGCGCCAUCGAGUUGCAGGUAAUACCCUUACCCUCUAUUUAGAGACCCCUAGCUUGUAUUUUAUCUGUGGCCACAAUGUCUACAAAGCUCUCCCUUUAGGUUGGCAAGGUCGGUGCGGUGUGGCCCGGGUGUUACCAGAUGUCCAAGUGAACGACACAUUGGAUGCCAGCCAGAUCCUCAACCUGGCAGCUAUGCCCAUAAGUUUUUCACCCCCCCCCCCUUUAUAAGGACUCGAGCGAAACAUGCCAACAAUCCCCUAGUAGUCAGGCAAAUGGGGUUUCACUCCUUUGUUCGUGCGCUCAUUCCUGGGUUGGGGGUAGCCGAGCUAGAAAAAGCAGUAGUAAAUAUUUCUGCAGAACUAGAAAAAAUAGCCAAUGCAUCAAUAGACGCUUUCCAAAAGUUGAAACAGGAGAUUGAUGAGGUGGCAGAAAUAGCUUUGCAAAAUAGACGUGUGUUAGAUGCUAUGAAUGCUGAAUUA